UACGUAGGGUGCAAGCGUUAAUCGGAAUUACUGGGCGUAAAGCGUGCGCAGGCGGCGCGUUAAGACAGGUGUGAAAGCCCCCGAGCUUAACUUGGGAAUUGCGCUUGUGACUGGCGUGCUGGAGUGUGGCAGAGGGAGGUGGAAUUCCACGUGUAGCAGUGAAAUGCGUAGAUAUGUGGAGGAAUACCGAUGGCGAAGGCAGCCUCCUGGGAUAACACUGACGCUCAUGCACGAAAGCGUGGGGAGCAAACAGG
rnacentral:rRNA from 1 species